rnacentral:lncRNA from 1 species
CCACACAGCACACAUCGCACACAACACACACAUGCCGCACACACCACACAAAUACAUAUGCCACACAGUGCACAACACACAACACACAUGCCACACAGCACACGUCACACACAUACACACACACUACACACAACACACAUGCCAGACACACAGCCAACACAUCACACAACACACAUGACACACAUGCCAAAUGCACACACACUACACAUGCCACACACAUGCCACACACACCACACACAUGCACAACACACAUGCCAGAGACCACACAUGCCACACAACACACGACACACCACACAUGCCACAUACACAACACACAUGCCACAGAGCACACACCACACACACCACGUCACACACCAAACACAUGCCACACACACCACACAUGUCACACACCACACACAGGCGCACAACACACGCCACACACAUCACAACCCCCAUGCCACACAACACAUAUGCUACACAAUGUGAAUGACACACGCAUGCCACAUGCACACUCAACAUAGAUGCCACACACACACCACACAUGUCACACACACCACACACAAUACACAUGCCACACACAGAACACACAUACCAUGCACACAACACACACAACACACUUGCCCCACACAACACAUACACAUGCCAGACACACACAACACACACCACACACACAAAACACAACAAACAUGCCACAUGCAACACACACAACACACGUCACACACAACAUGCACACAACACAUGCCACACAUGCACACCACACACAACACACAUGCUGCACACACAACACACAUGCCACACAGGCACACAACACAGAACAUACAUGCCACACAUACACACACCACACAUACAACACACAUGCCACACACACCAUACACAACGCACAAAACACAACACAUAUGACACACAUGACACACAUACACACACCACAC